GUGUGUGUAGCUAAGCAGUUAGAGAAUCCUUCUGGAUUGAGGUGGUCAUGGGUUUGAAUCCCAUUGCACACA